rnacentral:rRNA from 1 species
AAAUUAUCCCUCAUAAGUUUGAUGAUAAGAGAAACCAAUAUCAUUAACUUGCAACUUAAAGAAAUUUGAGUUGUUUUAUUAUUAUUAAUACAAAACUUUAUUGAUAUAUAUUUUUAAUAUCUAUUAUAGAUUAAUUAUAAUAAUAUGUUUACUAUUAUAUUUUUAUAUUGAUAUAUUAUUGUAUUUAUUCUAAUCAAAUAAUCAAAUUUAAUUUUCUAGUAUUUGUGAAAAUGUCUUUAAUUAGAUAAUAAUAUCAAAUAUAGUCUAAAUUUGGUAUUAAGGAAAUUAAAUUGUUUGAUAUAGAGGAAUUAAUAUUAAGAACCGUAGACUGGUGUAAUAAAUUUACCAAAUAAGUUAAUUAAAAUUGGUGUCACAAAAUCGGAGGCCUCGACUGUUUACUAAAAACUUAAGAAUGUGCGAUGAUGUAAAUCAUAGUAUACGUUCUGAAAUUUGCUCGAUGCCAUUAAUAUAAAAAAGGUAAUAGGAUAACUGUUACUGAUUGAAAAUCUGGUUAAUAGCGGUCUUAACUAUGAGGAUCCUAAGGUAGCGUAAUCAAUUGGCCAUUAAAUGUGGUCCGGUAUCAAUAAUGUAACGAAGGUCUCACUGUCUCUACAACUUGCUCAGUGAAAUUGAAUUACCCGUGCAGAUGCGGGUUACCCCCAGGGGACGGGAAGACCUAU